UACGUAGGGUGCAAGCGUUAUCCGGAAUUAUUGGGCGUAAAGGGCUCGUAGGCGGUUCGUCGCGUCUGGUGUGAAAGUCCAUCGCUUAACGGUGGAUCUGCGCCGGGUACGGGCGGGCUGGAGUGCGGUAGGGGAGACUGGAAUUCCCGGUGUAACGGUGGAAUGUGUAGAUAUCGGGAAGAACACCAAUGGCGAAGGCAGGUCUCUGGGCCGUUACUGACGCUGAGGAGCGAAAGCGUGGGGAGCGAACAGG
rnacentral:rRNA from 1 species